rnacentral:lncRNA from 1 species
CCCAGAACUUGCCAGUCAAGAUGAAAAACUUCUUCUAAUGGAAUCCAGCUUGAAAGCUACUCAAGAGCAGCUAACUGAGCAAAUAGCAGAAACAGUUCGCCAAGAACAGAACAGUAGAAAACCCCAGGCAGAGCUGAAGACAGUGACAGAAGGGAUUAUUGCUUCUGAAGAAGAAAAAAAAUGAUUACAAGAUAUGCUUCAGCCAAAUAUAUUGGGCUUACUCUAAGAAAUAGUAACACGUCAUGAAAUUUUUCUUGAAAAUAAAUACGAGCCUCAGCAUGUCGAUUCUGUACAGAUUUGCAAGUGUAGACCAAGGACUAUUAGCACAAAUGACAAGAAAUAUCUAAGAAAAUCUCAUGAAUGUUCAUUAAGAAACAUGGUCACAUAGGUCUUCUCAUCUUUUGAAUAAAUAAAGCAUAUGAAAAACUGAUAUGUCAGCCACACGAGUCAACAACACUCUAACCAGAAAAACUGUAUAUAGCCUUCGCAUGUACUGAUUACACAAAACAAAUACUACCAAAAUUUGCAUGUGACUAGUAUGUAAACAUUUUAUCGGUUUUUCUUUUCCAAAUGACAUAAUUACAUUGUAUUUUGAAACCAGAUUAAAGUAUAUUACCCAUGAUGGUAUCUUUGCAAAAACAGUUGUCUUAAAUUGGAUUCUGAGAUAGAGAGUUGUGUGUAGGUCUGUAGGGAGUGUUCUUGGGAAAUACAGGAAGGUGGGACUGGGGAGGGGUGGGUCCAGCUAACUCCAAUCUUGAUGCCACAAAAGCAUCAACUGAUCCCUAGAGGAGCUCUGGAGAUGUCUCAAAUUGAGGAAAAGAGACACAGCCAUUAUAUCUCCAUGUCAGCCAGGCUUUGGCUCCUGAAAGGGGUCAUAAUCUUGCAUGAUUCCCAGUGAGGGGUCUCAAAUGGGAGACGUCAGCCAUUUAUGAACAUUCCUAGCAGCUGGAGGAUGGAUGCUGAUCCCUACAGAGGGGAUUUGGUGGAGCACUACAUUGUUCUCUAUAAUCAUACACCAUUAUGAAAUAUAUAAUCUAAUUUAGAGGAAAUUCUGUCACUUCAAAUGCAAAUUCAUUGCACAUAUCAACUUUUUUUAAUCUUCAAAGUGCAUGUCUCAUUUACUUAGAUUUCUACCAUAAAAAGAUUUGUCUAAAAAUGUUAACUAUUAAACACUCUCACCUAUUAGUAAUAAAACAACUUAGGAAAUUAAUAAUUAAGAAAUAAAACAGAUGCUAAAUGGACAAAACAGAUAGCAUAAUAACAAAAAUGUAAAGGAGCAGACAAUUUCAUAAAGUGCUUUCACUUAAUAAAAUAUUAUUUCAUUUGGUACUCAAACAAAAUACAGAAUUUAUAUAGUAAUUUCCAUUUUGAUAAUGAAGACAUUGAAGCACAAGAAGAUAAGGCAACUUAACCAAGGUAAGUGACAGGAACUUGAAUUAAACCAUCUAUUUUGAUAUCAGAUAACCAUGGGAAGUAAUAAUUCCUUUGAUACAUAGUAUUGAGGCAGAGGCAGGGCCAGUUGUAUCAGGAGCCAAAUCUCUAAGUUUCUAGGUAGUGUGUUUCAACCUGUUGAAUGUGAACACAUUUUUAAUGAAUGCAUAUUCAGCUUAAAUGUGAAAACCAUAAAAUCUAAGUCUAUCAAUAUUUUUUAAAAUGUCUUAAAUA